GUCCUUAUUGUGGCAAUAGAGAGGUGAUUCAGCUGAUACGUCAGCACUGUGUUCGCACUGUUUUAUAAUAAAGUGAACUGAAGAGCUUUGGAACAUCCUGUAGACAAAGCAAUGAUGAGAGAUUUAUAAAUCUUGAGCAAGAAGAAGAACUUCAUAAGAAGAGGAAGUGAGAGGUGCUCAUCAUGACAUUUAAAUAUUUCCUGAAAAUUCUCAGAAAUAUUAGGGCUAUGGGGGAAGCCAACUUCUGUGUCAUGAGGACAUUCAAGCAGCACUUUGGAGCCGACCAUGUGGAACUGAAACUAAGCCAAGAAUCAGUGAGGAGCCUGCUGGUAACAGCCUUGUGGAUAACCCAUCUGAGAAGUGCAUCCUCUAGUCUCUGGCAAGCCUUCAGAAGACUGUGGCACCUGACAUCGCGACUGCAACCUCAUUGGAAACUCAAGACAGAACGGCCAGAUAAGCUGUUCCUAAAUUUCUGACUGACAGAAACUGUGUCAAAUAGACAUUUAUUUUUUGAGCCCUACGUUUUUGGAG
rnacentral:lncRNA from 13 species